CUGGCUCAGAGUGAACGCUGGCGGCGUGCCUAAUACAUGCAAGUCGAACGAUGAAGCUUCUAGCUUGCUAGAAGUGGAUUAGUGGCGCACGGGUGAGUAAGGUAUAGUUAAUCUGCCCUACACAAGAGGACAACAGUUGGAAACGACUGCUAAUACUCUAUACUCCUGCUUAACACAAGUUGAGUAGGGAAAGUUUUUCGGUGUAGGAUGAGACUAUAUAGUAUCAGCUAGUUGGUAAGGUAAUGGCUUACCAAGGCUAUGACGCUUAACUGGUCUGAGAGGAUGAUCAGUCACACUGGAACUGAGACACGGUCCAGACUCCUACGGGAGGCAGCAGUAGGGAAUAUUGCGCAAUGGGGGAAACCCUGACGCAGCAACGCCGCGUGGAGGAUGACACUUUUCGGAGCGUAAACUCCUUUUCUUAGGGAAGAAUUCUGACGGUACCUAAGGAAUAAGCACCGGCUAACUCCGUGCCAGCAGCCGCGGUAAUACGGAGGGUGCAAGCGUUACUCGGAAUCACUGGGCGUAAAGGGCGCGUAGGCGGAUUAUCAAGUCUCUUGUGAAAUCUAAUGGCUUAACCAUUAAAC
rnacentral:rRNA from 1 species